GUAGGGAAUAUUGGACAAUGGGGGCAACCCUGAUCCAGCAAUGCCGCGUGAGCGAUGAAGGCCUUAGGGUUGUAAAGCUCUUUUACCCGGGAUGAUAAUGACAGUACCGGGAGAAUAAGCCCCGGCUAACUCCGUGCCAGCAGCCGCGGUAAUACGGAGGGGGCUAGCGUUGUUCGGAAUUACUGGGCGUAAAGCGCACGUAGGCGGCUAUUCAAGUCAGAGGUGAAAGCCCGGGGCUCAACCCCGGAACAGCCUUUGAAACUAGAUAGCUUGAAUCCAGGAGAGGUGAGUGGAAUUCCGAGUGUAGAGGUGAAAUUCGUAGAUAUUCGGAAGAACACCAGUGGCGAAGGCGGCUCACUGGACUGGUAUUGACGCUGAGGUGCGAAAGCGUGGGGAGCAAACAGG
rnacentral:rRNA from 1 species